ensembl:lncRNA
UUUUUUUUUUUUUUUUUUUUUUUUGAGACGGAGUCUCGCUCUGUCGCCCAGGCUGGAGUGCAGUGGCGCGAUCUCGGCUCACUGCAAGCUCCGCCCCCCGGGUUCACGCCAUUCUCCUGCCUCAGCCUCCCGAGUAGCUGGGACUACAGGCGCCCACAACCGCUUGUAUUUUUAGUAGAGACGGGGUUUCACCGUGGUCUCGAUCUCCUGACCUUGUGAUCCGCCCGCCUCGGCCUCCCAAAGUGCUGGGAUUACAGGCGUGAGCCACCGCGCCCGGCUUUUUUUUUUUUUUUUGAAACGGAGUCUUGCUCUGUCGCCCAAGCUGGAGUGGGGUGGCACGAUCUUGGCUCACUGCAACCUCCGCCCCCGGGGUUCAAGCAAUUCUCUGCCUCAGCCUCCCAAGUAGCUGGGAUUACAGGUGCCCGCCACCAUGCCCAGCUAAUAUUUUUUUGUAGUUUUAGUAGAGACAGGGUUUCACCAUCUUGACCAGGCUGGUCUUGAACUCCUGAUCUCAAGUGAUCUGCCCACCUCAGCCUCCCAAAGUGCUGGGAUUACAGGCGUGAGCCAUUGCUCCUGGCCUCUCUGUUUUUUUUAGACGAGGUCUCACUCUGUCGCCCAGGCUGGGGUGCAGUGGCAUGAUCAUGGCUCAAUGCAGCCUUGACCUCUUCGACUCAAGCAAUCCUCACACUUCAGCCUCCUGAGUAGCUGGGACUACAGUCAUAUGCCAUGGCACCAGGCUAAUUUUUGUAGACAGAUCUUCACCAUGUUGCCCAGGUUGGUCUUGAACUCUGGACUCAAGCUAACUGCCUGCCAUGGCCUCCCAAAAUACCUGGAUUACAGGCUUGAGCCAUUGAGCCCAGCUGCUGUUAUUUUUGAGACGGAGUCUCCGGUUCCCAGGUUCAAGCACUUCUCCUGUCUCAGCCUCCUGAGGAGUAGCUGGGACAACAGGUGCCCACCACCCCGCCCGGCUAAUUUUGUUGUUUAAUAAAGACAGGGUUUUACCAUGUUGGUCCGGCUUGUCUCGAACUCCUGACCUCAGAUGAUCCACCUGCCUUGGCCUCCCAAAGUGCUGGGAUUACAGGCGUGGUGGCUCAGAGCACCCAGCUGCUGAUACACUUUUUAGAAAGAAUUAUUUGUUUUAAAUUAAUUUAGACUUUUCCUUAAAGUCAUGGCUUUUAGAUAAGCUGUGUGGAAUUAUAAGCUAUGUACAUCUCCUUACUUAGAAAAUGCAAUCCAGAUAUAUCUUUGAAUGACUGGGUAAUUGUUCUACCAGCAGCUGGCUCUUGAAACUUAAUAGCAUUAGUAAAUAGAAUUCAAAUUUGCUUGUCCAUAUGGUUCACCAAUAAGGGCACAAAGAUUUAAGGCAGUAAUCUAAACACCAGAAAGCUAUACACAUGAAGUAUAAAUAAAUUAGUAAAUUCAAAGGCAAAUAUUAUUGAUGGAAUAAUUGAUAUAGUUCUAGAUUUACUUAUAUUCUUUUACAUUAUUUAUAGUAUCAAAUGACUAAAUUGUUGAAGGCAAAUUGAUGAGUUCAACUGAAUUACUAACUAAUGUGCUUAUCGUUAGGCAGAAGAAAGUUUGAAGCAUAAAGAAAUGGAAAAUAGCAUGGUUUUUGCCCUCAGAGUUAGAAUCUUUGAAGAAGAUAAAACUUGUACUACAAGUCAAAUAAAGAUGAAACGUUGAGGAAUAAUACAAAAGAUAAAUUUUAGUUAAAAUGGAAUAUACUUGAAUACCAAAAUAUAUGAUGCAU